rnacentral:rRNA from 1 species
AUGGAGGCUCUGCCGGAAGACCUCAUCCGGAGGGGCAUGACGGUCAGAAGGGACGAUGGCGAGCUGGAGCUGACCAUAGAGGACUACCCCUAUGCCAACGACGGCCUUCUUGUCUGGGACGCCAUCAAGCACUGGGCGUUGACUUACGUCGAGCACUACUACCCGUGCACUGCGGACAUCGUCGACGACGAGGAGCUUCAGGCUUGGUGGAUGGAGGUGCGCACCAAAGGCCACGCCGACAAGCAGGAUGAGCCAUGGUGGCCCGAGUUGGACGACCACGAGAACCUGGCGCAAGCUCUGGCCACCAUCAUGUGGGUCACCUCAGCGCACCACGCUGCCGUCAACUUCGGGCAGUACCCCAUGGCCGGGUAUAUCCCCAACCGCCCGACGCUCACCCGGAGGAACAUGCCGACCGAGAUGGGUGCCGAUGACAUGCGCGCAUUUGUGGAGGCGCCGGAGAAGGUGUUGUUGGACACGUUCCCCUCCCAGUACCAGGCUGCCAUAGUCCUUGCCAUCUUGGACCUCCUAUCGUCGCACUCGUCAGACGAGGAGUACAUGGGAACGCACGAAGAGCCGUCAUGGAAACAGGAUGGGGCGAUCAGGCAGGCAUUUGAGGAGUUCAAGGAGAGGACUAGGGAGAUCGUGGAGCAGGUGGACAAUUGGAACAGUGACCCUGACCGAAAAAACCGGCACGGCGCUGGCAUGGUGCCGUAUGUGCUGCUCAGGCCGUCGGACGGUGAUCCUACGGACGAGAAGAUGGUGAUGGAGAUGGGAAUCCCCAACAGCAUCUCCAUUUGA